GACGAACGCUGGCGGCGUGCUUAACACAUGCAAGUCGAACGGAAAGGCCCUGCUUUUGUGCGGUGCUCGAGUGGCGAACGGGUGAGUAACCCGUGAGUAACCUGCCCUUGACUUUGGGAUAACUUCAGGAAACUGGGGCUAAUACCGGAUAGGAGCUCCUGCUGCAUGGUGGGCGCUGGAAAGUUUCGGCGGUUGGGGAUGGACUCGCGGCUUAUCAGCUUGUUGGUGGGGUAGUGGCUUACCAAGGCUUUGACGGGUAGCCGGCCUGAGAGGGUGACCGGCCACAUUGGGACUGAGAUACGGCCCAGACUCCUACGGGGGGCAGCAGUGGAGAAUAUUGCACAAUGGGCGGAAGCCUGAUGCAGCAACGCCGCGUGCGGGAAGACGGCCUGCGGGUUGUAAACCGCUUUCGCCUGUGACGAAGCGUGAGUGACGGUAAUGGGUAAAGAAGCACCGGCUAACUACGUG
rnacentral:rRNA from 1 species